rnacentral:rRNA from 1 species
GAUGAACGCUGGCGGCGUGCCUAAUACAUGCAAGUCGAGCGAACGGACGAGAAGCUUGCUUUUCUGAUGUUAGCGGCGGACGGGUGAGUAACACGUGGAUAACCUACCUAUAAGACUGGGAUAACUUCGGGAAACCGGAGCUAAUACCGGAUAAUAUUUGGAACCGCAUGGUUCUAAAGUGAAAGACGGUCUUGCUGUCACUUAUAGAUGGAUCCGCGCUGCAUUAGCUAGUUGGUAAGGUAACGGCUUACCAAGGCAACGAUGCAUAGCCGACCUGAGAGGGUGAUCGGCCACACUGGAACUGAGACACGGUCCAGACUCCUACGGGAGGCAGCAGUAGGGAAUCUUCCGCAAUGGGCGAAAGCCUGACGGAGCAACGCCGCGUGAGUGAUGAAGGUCUUCGGAUCGUAAAACUCUGUUAUUAGGGAAGAACAUAUGUGUAAGUAACUGUGCACAUCUUGACGGUACCUAAUCAGAAAGCCACGGCUAACUACGUG